GCGACUCUCUGGUCUGUAACUGACGCUGAGGAGCGAAAGCGUGGGGAGCGAACAGGAUUAGAUACCCUGGUAGUCCACGCCGUAAACGAUGAGUGCUAAGUGUUAGGGGGUUUCCGCCCCUUAGUGCUGCAGCUAACGCAUUAAGCACUCCGCCUGGGGAGUACGGUCGCAAGACUGAAACUCAAAGGAAUUGACGGGGGCCCGCACAAGCGGUGGAGCAUGUGGUUUAAUUCGAAGCAACGCGAAGAACCUUACCAGGUCUUGACAUCCUCUGACAACCCUAGAGAUAGGGCUUUCCCUUCGGGGACAGAGUGACAGGUGGUGCAUGGUUGUCGUCAGCUCGUGUCGUGAGAUGUUGGGUUAAGUCCCGCAACGAGCGCAACCCUUGAUCUUAGUUGCCAGCAUUCAGUUGGGCACUCUAAGGUGACUGCCGGUGACAAACCGGAGGAAGGUGGGGAUGACGUCAAAUCAUCAUGCCCCUUAUGACCUGGGCUACACACGUGCUACAAUGGACAGAACAAAGGGCUGCAAGACCGCAAGGUUUAGCCAAUCCCAUAAAUCUGUUCUCAGUUCGGAUCGCAGUCUGCAACUCGACUGCGUGAAGCUGGAAUCGCUAGUAAUCGCGGAU
rnacentral:rRNA from 1 species